AACUCCCCUUCCCGGGGAACUCACACUUUAGAAAAGAACCGGCGGCGCUGAGAAAGCGGGCUGUUUCCUGUCCUCCUAGGGACCGAGGCGGCAGCCGCGGCAGCUCCGGCGCGUUGCUGAGCAAGAAGCGGGGCUGGGACCGCCAAGCCGGGCGGCCACCCGGGUCUCUUCCGCGCGGCCGGAGCAGAGGCGGCAGCGGCGGCCCGGCUUACCUCCUCUUUUCCUCUUCCUGGGUCUCUUCAGGCUGGGUCUUCUGCCCGUCCCGGGCCACUUCUCCCCGACAGUCCCGUUUGGGAGGCUCCGGAUUUUUGUUUUAUAAAGUUUCUUCUGGGCGGAGGCUGCGGCCGGCCCCCCGGGUCCCCCCCGGCCCCGCCGCCCUCGGGGCUGGGGCAGGGAGGGGGCUCUAAGAACUCCUCCCGGAGUCCUUGCCGAGGAGCCGGGGGGCCGGCGACGGGCCGAGAACGGAGACCCCCCGAGGGGGCAGAGGGGCGGGGGAGGGAAGGGAAGGACGGCGGCGUCGGUCCCGCUGUCCCCGCCGCCCCGGCCGCCGCUUCACAUCGGGGUCCCCGCCCCCCCAGCCGGGGGGCGUCUGCCCGGCGUGGAGCCCCGGCUCAUGCACUCCGCGGCGAGAUGCUACGGCCCCGGGCGGGUGGCCGAGGCGGCGGCGAGGUGGGGGACCCGGCCGGCUCCGCUCGGCGCCGCCCCCGCUCCCGGCUCCCGCAUGUGUCGCUGCGGCUGGGACCCCCGCCCUCCACCUUGGGGGUCCCUCGCCCCGCGCCCCGGGACCAACAGAAGCUCCGGCCCCUCCUCAGCGUCCUCUCCCCGCGGAGCAGCGGACUAGUCCCGGUCCGAGGUAGCCACCUCCCUGCCCCCCAGCCACCGGCUCCGGCUCGGGCUCCGGCGUGUGCAGCCGCGGCUGCCGGCCGGGAAGGUGAGGGGGGGAGAAGAGAGGUGGCCGCGGCUCCCGCCGGCCCAGGUCAGGGCAGAGGUCCUGGCGGCGGCCGGUGCACGGGCGCUGGGUCUCUCAGAUGCUCCCUGGCUCUCACGCUCGCGGCGGCGGCGGCGGCGGUAGCGCCCGGAGCUCAGCUCGCUGUCUCCCUCGCUUAGUGCGGGGCUCUCGCCUCACUCCAGAGAGAGGGGCGGGAGGAAAACGGCGCGCAACAAUGACGCAAGUCACCUAGCAACCGCUCUCUCCCCCACCCCCUCCCUUCUCUCUCCGCUCGGAGGCUCACUCCCCUAGUCUUUUUUCACCUUUCCGACCACCCCGCCCUAGGCGCCUCUGGCGCGCUCUGAUGACGCUCCAAGGGAAGAGGAAGUCGGGCUCGGCGAGCGGGUGGGUGCGCCUCGGGCCGCGGACUCGGUGUCGCUGCCGCCGCCUCUACGGCCGCGUCAGAACAGAAGAGAGGAAGGGGAGGAGCCGCGUGGAGCCUAAGCUGCCGCCUGAGCUUACCCCUGACCCGAGGGCGGUGGAGAGAGCUUGCUCUGUAGCGGUUUCCUUCAGAGCAGGUGGUGACUGCUCCUUGGGGAGCAAGGAGGAGGCCCAGGCCGCGCGGCCAUGCUCGGGCGCGCACCACCCGAAGCCAGUCUAUCACUUGACCCCUGGCCUCUUCAGAGAAUAACCAUACUUCCUCAACAUCUGAAAGAAGAACUACAAAAUAAAGCAGUAGUGUCGUAUCAAAUGAUGCAGCAAAGGCCCUUGGAUUUGGUGAUGAGCUCCUUAAUAAUAUCAUAGUGCUGUUAAAAAUGUUGGAAGAUACCAGAGCUUGAUGACAUUGUUAAAUACAAGAACACAUGAGUCUAGAAAACUUAUCAACUGUUUGAUGAGAUUGUCCC
ensembl:lncRNA